AAAUUGAAGAGUUUGAUCAUGGCUCAGAUUGAACGCUGGCGGCAGGCCUAACACAUGCAAGUCGAGCGGAAACGAGUUGUCUGAACCUUCGGGGAACGAUAACGGCGUCGAGCGGCGGACGGGUGAGUAAUGCCUAGGAAAUUGCCCUGAUGUGGGGGAUAACCAUUGGAAACGAUGGCUAAUACCGCAUAAUACCUACGGGUCAAAGAGGGGGACCUUCGGGCCUCUCGCGUCAGGAUAUGCCUAGGUGGGAUUAGCUAGUUGGUGAGGUAAUGGCUCACCAAGGCGA
rnacentral:rRNA from 1 species